UGAGCAAUCUGCCCUUCUCAUCGGAAUAAGCGUUGGAAACGACGUCUAAUGCCGAAUACGACCUCCUUUCGCAUGAUCGGAGGUGGAAAGCUCCGGCGGAGAAGGAUGAGCUCGCGGCCUAUCAGCUAGUUGGUGUGGGUAAUGGCCUACCAAGGCAACGAUCCGUAGCUGGUCUGAGAGGACGAUCAGCCACACUGGGACUGAGACACGGCCCAGACUCCG
rnacentral:rRNA from 1 species